rnacentral:rRNA from 1 species
GAUGAACGCUGGCGGCGUGCCUAACACAUGCAAGUCGAGCGAUUCACUUCGGUGAAGAGCGGCGGACGGGUGAGUAACGCGUGGGUAACCUGCCUCAUACACAUGGAUAACAUACCGAAAGGUAUGCUAAUACAGGAUAACAUAAGAGAUUCGCAUGGAUUUCUUAUCAAAGCUCCGGCGGUAUGAGAUGGACCCGCGUCUGAUUAGCUAGUUGGUAAGGUAAUGGCUUACCAAGGCGACGAUCAGUAACCGACCUGAGAGGGUGAUCGGCCACAUUGGAACUGAGACACGGUCCAAACUCCUACGGGAGGCAGCAGUGGGGAAUAUUGCACAAUGGGCGAAAGCCUGAUGCAGCAACGCCGCGUGAGUGAUGAAGGCCUUCGGGUCGUAAAACGCUGUCCUCAAGGAAGAUAAUGACGGUACUUGAGGAGGAAGCCCCGGCUAACUACGUGCCAGCAGCCGCGGUAAUACGUAGGGGGCUAGCGUUAUCCGGAUUUACUGGGCGUAAAGGGUGCGUAGGUGGUUUCUUAAGUCAGGAGUGAAAGGCUACGGCUCAACCGUAGUAAGCUCUUGAAACUGGGAAACUUGAGUGCAGGAGAGGAAAGUGGAAUUCCUAGUGUAGCGGUGAAAUGCGUAGAUAUUAGGAGGAACACCAGUAGCGAAGGCGGCUUUCUGGACUGUAACUGACACUGAGGCACGAAAGCGUGGGGAGCAAACAGGAUUAGAUACCCUGGUAGUCC